GAUGAACGCUGGCGGCGUGCCUAAUACAUGCAAGUCGAGCGAACGGACGAGAAGCUUGCCUCUCUGAUGUUAGCGGCGGACGGGUGAGUAACACGUGGAUAACCUACCUAUAAGACUGGGAUAACUUCGGGAAACCGGAGCUAAUACCGGAUAAUAUUUUGAACCGCAUGGUUCAAAAGUGAAAGACGGUCUUGCUGUCACUUAUAGAUGGAUCCGCGCUGCAUUAGCUAGUUGGUAAGGUAACGGCUUACCAAGGCAACGAUGCAUAGCCGACCUGAGAGGGUGAGCGGCCACGCUGGAACUGACACGGUCCAGACGCCUGCGGGAGGCAGCAGUAGGGAAUCUUCCGCAAUGGGCGAAAGCCUGACGGAGCAACGCCGCGUGAGUGAUGAAGGUCUUCGGAUCGUAAAACUCUGUUAUUAGGGAAGAACAUAUGUGUAAGGAACUGUGCACAUCUUGACGGUACCUAAUCAGAAAGCCACGGCUAACUACGUG
rnacentral:rRNA from 1 species